rnacentral:rRNA from 1 species
GAUGAACGCUGGCGGCGUGCCUAAUACAUGCAAGUCGAGCGAACGGACGAGAAGCCUGCUUCUCUGAUGUUAGCGGCGGACGGGUGAGUAACACGUGGAUAACCUACCUAUAAGACUGGGAUAACUUCGGGAAACCGGAGCUAAUACCGGACAAUAUUUUGAACCGCAUGGUUCAAAAGUGAAAGACGGUCUUGCUGUCACUUAUAGAUGGAUCCGCGCUGCAUUAGCUAGUUGGUACGGUAACGGCUUACCAAGGCAACGAUGCAUAGCCGACCUGGGAGGGUGAUCGGCCACACGGGAACUGAGACACGGUCCAGACUCCUACGGGAGGCAGCAGUAGGGAAUCUUCCGCAAUGGGCGAAAGCCUGACGGAGCAACACCGCGUGAGUGAUGAAGGUCUUCGGAUCGUAAAACUCUGUUAUUAGGGAAGAACAUAUGUGUAAGUAACUGUGCACAUCUUGACGGUACCUAAUCAGAAAGCCACGGCUAACUACGUG